AGUUAUUUAGCUUAUAAUAAAGCAAGUAUUUUGAAAAUACUAGAAAGAUAAUAUUUAUUAACUU
rnacentral:tRNA from 1 species